rnacentral:rRNA from 1 species
AAUUAACGCUGGCAGCGUGCCUAACACAUGCAAGUGGAGCGAUACAGCCGCAGACGGGUGAGUAACACGUGGGAAUCUACCCUUAUCUUGGGAAUAGCCCGCCGAAAGGCGGAUUAAUGCACGAUAGCACCGCAAGGUUAAAGAUUUAUCGGAUAAGGAUGAGCCCGCGCCCCAUCAGCUUGUUGGUAAGGUAAUGGCUUAUCAAGGCUAUGACGGGUAGUUGGUCUGAGAGGAUGACCAGCAACAAUGGGACUGAGGCACGGCCCAUACUCCUACGGGAGGCAGCAGUGGGGAAUAGUGCGAAAGGGGCGAAAUGCCUGAUCCAGCCAGGCCGCGUGAGUGAUGAAGGCCUUAGGGAUGUAAAGCUCUUUCACCGAUGAAGAUAAUGACGGAAGUCGGAGAAGAAGCCCCGGCUAACUUCGUGCCAGCAGCCGCCGUAAGAC